GCAUGGAAUAUGUUUGCAUCCAUCCGGUUUUAAUUUUUGCUUCAUUAUUCCCUAGUGCAGGGUCGUCAAUGACAUAAUGUCUGCCUGUUUCAGCAGCGAAAAAUCCUCAGCGAGGGUCAGAAAUGUUAAUGAGGAAUAUCUUAGAGAGCUUCCGGUAACCCUGGAUACUCUUCUAAUACACAGCCGGAUAAGGUGGUGCUACAUUCGACUAAUAACCAGAAAGAAAAAAGACCUCAAUCUUUCCUUUGUCUGGAUCUGUAAUGAGAGCUAUGUCCCCAAAGACAAUUCUUCAAUAAGUUGGAAUGAUGGGGUAUUCCAGAUUUAAAGAGCAGGCAUGAAACAACAGUUCACUGCUAAGAAAAAAAAAUACAUUGUUUGUCUCUGUGGCAACAUUAUAUGUUCAGACAUUCAUUGCUUUGGAAGUACAAAAAGUAAACCCUCUCUUUUGUUGUCAUGAGAUAUAUCUUUGUGGGUACCACAUGGGGUACAGGUCUUUCUUCUGUGGGUGAUUUUUACCCAGCUACAAUUCUAUUCCAUUUCCGGUGAGUAGACAGAGUCCCCAGAUUGUAUAAAUCCUCCUCACCUUGAGGCCUGUAGAGACACAGGAAGUCCCACUGGCUAUCGUGAAGGCAGGUAAUCUACAGCAUGAAAUCAAAGGAGCUCUGAAGAAGAAUCACUUUGAACUUGAGGUUGAAAAGCGGUAGCAACCAGUCCUAGAAGUCAUCAGCAAUGAUCAUGUCCCCCCAGGAGAGUCUCCAAUUUAACGCUCACUCUAUCCCUGAGUACAUCUGUGUUUCUGAGAGCUUUUAUAAGUCUUCCAGUCAAGCUUCAUGGGGAAGAAACAUUCACCAGACAAAAUGUGAAAACACCUAUGGAUCGCCAAGGUCUUCUGUC